GGGGGAGGGAGGAAUCUGGAUGGAGGAGGGAAAUCAGAGGAAGGGAGGAGUAAGGGGGAAAGGACGAAAAACAUGAGAGAAAUUAGGACGGAGAAGUGUGACGAGGAGGAGGAGGAGGAGGAGGGGGAGGAAUGUAGUACAGUGAUAUAUGUAGAUUAAAUUAAUUGUGAAUUUUCAUGUGAGACGUAGUGAUGGCAGUAUCUGGCUUCCUCCCCACACCCUUCCCGCCCAGGGUGCAUGUUUCACCACUGCCUUGGAGCGUUCUCAGUGGCUUUGUGAAUGUGUGGAGUAAGUUAAUCUUUUUUUGAGUGCUCCUGGCUGACAGUGCAAAGCGACACAUGUUCGUAUGUGAGACUGAUGAUGCUAAUGGUGAAUAUUAACAUAAAGACAAUCGUGACUGGCAGACGAGGGAGAGAGGUGGAGAUCUGUGGUCGCCAACGUCAUCUGAUAGACACUCCAGUGAAGACUGGCGAGGGAGGUAGCGGGGCAGGCAAGGACUUGACGCCAAGCCUUUGGUCGCCCCACCUAUCACCACAUGGAAGUGAGGUCAACCUUCACCCUUUGUCUUCCGGACGCCAGCCCUGGCCGUGACCUGAGCUGGCCCAGCAACCACCCCUACAUCAUUCCCAGUCCGUGUCCGCCCAGCCUUGCUGGCGGACAUGCAGAGUCCGAGUCCGCCUUUCCUCAGUGACGGAGAUGGGUAGUCCUCGUUCAGACAACCUCGGAGCUGGACGUGCGACGCCUGGCUGCUUCAUUAUUUAUCAUUUUGUACAGUUUAUUUUAUUAAUAUAACGCAGCAGCAUUACCACCGUGAU